GUGCACUUAGCUCAGUGGUUAGAGCACCCUUCUAGAGGGGACCAAAGUCACAGGUUUGAGUCCUGUAGUGCACA
rnacentral:tRNA from 1 species